rnacentral:tRNA from 1 species
GCGCGAGUGGCGGAAUUGGCAGACGCGCUGGAUUUAGGUUCCAGUACCCACUAGUGGUGUGAGGGUUCAAGUCCCUUCUCGCGCA